GACGAAGGUGGCAAGCGUUGUUCGGAUUCACUGGGCAUAAAGGGCGCGUAGGCGGUUCCGAAAGUGGCCCGUGAAAUCCCCCGGCUCAACCGGGGAAGUGCGGACCAAACUUCGGUGCUAGAGGGUGGGAGGGGAGACUGGAACUCUCGGUGGAGCGGUGAAAUGCGUAGAUAUCGAGAGGAACACCGGUGGCGAAGGCGAGUCUCUGGUCCACCACUGACGCUGAGGCGCGAAAGCGUGGGUAGCAAACAGG
rnacentral:rRNA from 1 species